rnacentral:lncRNA from 1 species
CUAGUCCAGGACAUCUCCUUGCAUCGCAAGUGUCGCUACUGGGCUGUAUACACUCACCCUCCCUAUGAUCGUUUGGACCAAACACACAACAGGACCUAUCUGCAUUGAGAUCAAUUAAGCUAAAUACAAUACCUCGUAUGAAAUUAAUCAUUAUACUUAGACGACAGAAGACCUAGAUGGCAGAUUCAAUAAUGGCUUUAAGAGUAAUAAUGAUCAUAUGUUAAACACACCACAUAACAAUUUUUAAAGAGAAUUCAUAAAAAAAAAAAAAUCUUGUUGGUACUACGGAAAAUAUUUAGCUUAUUGACUCCCUUUGAAAAGAAAUAUGUCAAAAAAUUGUUUUAACAAUUAGCUGACCGAAAUUGUCUUCUCUUUUUAAAGAUUAUAAAAAUUGUCUUUUAUAGAAACUGGCUAGUUAAAAAAAUGCAUACGUUCGGAUAGGAACACUUUUUAGGUUUAAACACAGAAUAAAUACAAAAAUCGUGGGUUGUUUGAUAAAACAAUUAAUAAAAUAAAUAUUGUUCAUGUGAAAAUAUUUUAAUCAUCAAGGCACAUUGUUCAAUGUCCCUCUAACUAAAUAUGCACAUAAAGAAAUGGCAAAAAAAUUCAAGAAAAAUGCAAAUGCUGGUGGAAGGGCUUGAACCUUCGACCUUGUGGUUUAAAAGCCACAUGCUCUAACCAACUGAGCUACACCAGCCAAAUUAGUAUUAAAUAAAAUAUGGUAAACAUUAAAAUAUUCUAAAUAAACAUGACAUUGUGGUUGUCUUCGAUCUGUUCACAUAUAAAAACCAAUCUCUGCCAACGUUAAUGAGAUGCUGUAAAAUUUCAGUUUGAGAUAAGACUCAAUUAUCAAAUUGAAAUAAAAUUAAAAAAACAAUCCACUUGAUAGCCUAAAUUGAUUAAGCAACAUUCUGGAUAAACUUUUAAAGUCAAGACAAAGAGACAACUCAAGCAACCUUAAAGGCGCCAUCAAGAACCCUCAAGGCAGCAAGCUUUGGUAUGACAUGAAAUGGAAACUCGGUUUUUUCCUAGUACUGGAAAUAACAUGGAAGAUCUCUCAAGUGUGGUUUAUUACAUGAUGCACAUACUACAAACUGAACACCCAUAAACAACUAACAGUGACAAUAUUGCCAUAUCUUGAGAGUCUAGACUAUGGUCGUGCUUGUUCACAUAGGCCAUAAGAGCAUGACUUGGCUGCAUAACUACAGUGGUACAGGGGUGGUCAAAGGGCCAUGGUCGUCUUGGUAAUAGUCUGAAGUUGCAAAUUUAUGUGGUUGUGGACCAAAAUCAAGGGAUGUCACUGACACAAUUCAAUUGAUAUUAAGAUUUUGUAUAAUCUUUAUAAGUGGUUUGAUAAAAAGUAUAAUAUAAUGUACUUUUAGAGUUAGGAGUCAAUGUAUAAUAAGUAAAUAGUCAAGUACUUUCAACACCAAGACUGUAGUGACAUAAAAAUUGUUCCUAUAGGGCUGUAGUGACAUGAACCUACUCUAGUUAUCCCCAAUAGCAACCUGGCUUUUGGGCGUUAAAAUUUCAUGGGCUUCUCACAAAUAAUGGUAAAAUUUGUUUUAGUAAAAAAGAGAGUAGUAUGAAUUUAGAACUGCAAGGCUGUAUAUGAACUGACCUAAAUCAAUAGCUACCUGGUCAAUGGCUUUCUUCUCAGUGACUUCAUUUCCAUAAGCAGUUUAUUUCAUGACCAACUAUACAUCUCCAUAUCAUAAAUCACCAUGUCAUAAAUUUUAGAAGCAUACGGUGGGAUCUUCUCAUAAAAAAAAAGGCAGAUAUUAGUUACAAAAUGCUGACGAUCUCCGAACGGUUUUGCAUAGGGUUGAUGCCAAUGCAAAUGUCUUUCCAUCGAGAUUAUGUUUUCUCCUUUAAUCCUGUGAUUAGUCGUACAGAUGUAAACGACAGUUCAUAGAUAUGAAGUACAUUGAUAAGAAUGAUAAAGGAGUGUUCAGUUCACAUACCAUGACCCAUCCCCAAGUAUCAGC